GCAGUCAUGGGGUAGUGGUAACCUGGGUCGUUGCCAUGGGCGUCCAGUUUUGUGCAUACUGCAUGACGUCGACCCGCCCCGAGUUCGAUUCUCGGUGGCUGCA